AAAUCAAAAACGUAUUAAAAAAGUAUUGCAAAGUACGAACUGCCUGCAGCUUGACACCAUAACAAAGUUGAAUACUGACAGAUGUAAAGUCUGUGUGGUCCUAAAGUAAAACACAUUUUACAGUAGAAAUACAUGUUAAUAAAUAAC
rnacentral:lncRNA from 1 species